ACCUCCUGAGCCAGAAGAUCCUGGGCAACCUCCAGCAGCUCCGCGGGCCCUUCCCAGGGUCCGGCCUGGGCGUGGCCUCCAGCUCGGAGCCCAUCAACCCCACCAGCAACCUGUCGACGGUGGCCGUGCUGCCCGUGUGCGACGAGGUGCCCAUGGCGGCCUUCACGCUGGAGCUGCAGCACGCGCUCAACGCCAUCGGCCCCACGCUGCUCCUCACCAGCGACAUCAUCCGCGCCCGCCUGGGUUCCUCGGCUCUGGAGAGCAUCCAGGAGUACCGGCUGUCGGGGUGGCUGGCGCAGCAGGAGGACCUGCACCGCAUCGUGCUGUACCAGACGGACUGCACGCUGACCCCCUGGACGC